CCUACGGGAGGCAGCAGUGAGGAAUAUUGGUCAAUGGGCGCGAGCCUGAACCAGCCAAGUAGCGUGAAGGAUGACUGCCCUACGGGUUGUAAACUUCUUUUGUAAGGGAAUAAAGUGCGGCACGUGUGCCUUUUUGUAUGUACUUUAUGAAUAAGGAUCGGCUAACUCCGUGCCAGCAGCCGCGGUAAUACGGAGGAUCCGAGCGUUAUCCGGAUUUAUUGGGUUUAAAGGGAGCGUAGAGGGGUGGUUAAGUCAGUUGUGAAAGUUUGCGGCUCAACCGGAAAAGUGCAAUUGAUACUGGCAGUCUUGAGUACAGAAGAGGCAGGCGGAAUUCGUGGUGUAGCGGUGAAAUGCAUAGAUAUCACGAAGAACCCCGAUUGCGAAGGCAGCUUACUAAGCUGCCACUGACACUGAGGCUCGAAAGUGCGGGUAUCAAACAGGAUUAGAUACCCGUGUAGUC
rnacentral:rRNA from 1 species